rnacentral:rRNA from 1 species
AACGAACGCUGGCGGCAGGCCUAACACAUGCAAGUCGAACGCACCGCAAGGUGAGUGGCGCACGGGUGAGUAACACGUGGGAAUGUACCCUUUGGUUCGGAAUAACGUUUGGAAACGAACGCUAAUACCGGAUGAGCCCUGUGGGGGAAAGAUUUAUCGCCAAAGGAGCAGCCCGCGUCUGAUUAGCUAGUUGGUGGGUAAAGGCCUACCAAGGCGACGAUCAGUAGCUGGUCUGAGAGGAUGAUCAGCCACACUGGGACUGAGACACGGCCCAGACUCCUACGGGAGGCAGCAGUGGGGAAUAUUGGACAAUGGGCGGAAGCCUGAUCCAGCCAUGCCGCGUGAGUGAUGAAGGCCUUCGGGUUGUAAAGCUCUUCGUCACGCGACGAUGAUGACGGUAGCGUGAGAGAAGCCCCGGCUAACUUCGUGCCAGCAGCCGCGUAA